rnacentral:rRNA from 1 species
AGAGUGAACGCUGGCGGCAGGCCUAACACAUGCAAGUCGAACGGCAGCACAGGGGAGCUUGCUCCCUGGGUGGCGAGUGGCGGACGGGUGAGGACAACGUCGGAAUCUGCCUUUUUGUGGGGGAUAACGUAGGGAAACUUACGCUAAUACCGCAUACGACCCCGGGCCGGGAGGUUCGGGGUGAAAGCGGAGGACCUUCGGGCUUCGCGCAGAAAGAUGAGCCGACGUCGGAUUAGCUAGUUGGUGGGGUAAAGGCCCACCAAGGCGACGAUCCGUAGCUGGUCUGAGAGGAUGAUCAGCCACACUGGAACUGAGACACGGUCCAGACUCC